rnacentral:rRNA from 1 species
UGUAAGCGCAGCGAAGCGUUGAGCUAACCGGUACUAAUGAACCGUGAGGCUUAACCCUACAACGCCGAAGGUGUUU